GAUGAACGCUAGCGGCAGGCUUAACACAUGCAAGUCGAGGGGUAUUAGGAGCUUGCUCCUAAGAGACCGGCGCACGGGUGCGUAACGCGUAUGCAACCUACCUUGAACAGGGGGAUAGCCCAGAGAAAUUUGGAUUAAUACCCCAUGGUAUAUUAGAAUGGCAUCAUUUUAUUAUUAAAGUCACAACGGUUCAAGAUGGGCAUGCGUCCCAUUAGCUAGAUGGUAAGGUAACGGCUUACCAUGGCUACGAUGGGUAGGGGUCCUGAGAGGGAGAUCCCCCACACUGGUCCUGAGACACGGACCAGACUCCUACGGGAGGCAGCAGUGAGGGAUAUUGGUCAAUGGGCGCAAGCCUGAACCAGCCAUGCCGCGUGCAGGAUGAAGCAUCUAUGGUGUGUAAACUGCUUUCAUACGGGAAGAAACCCUGCCACGUGUGGCAGAUCGACGGUACCGUAGGAAUAAGGAUCGGCUAACUCCGUGCCAGCAGCCGCCGUAA
rnacentral:rRNA from 1 species